rnacentral:lncRNA from 1 species
UUUUUCUGAAUUGACAAUACACAAAUUCACAGCCAAUACAUACAAUGGUACACUCACAUAAAAGCCAGGCCCCCCGUGCCUAAAAAAGAAAGUGAAAAGAGGGCCUUGAUCUAAAAGAAGAACCAGAGAUAUUACAAUUCUUGCUUAAGAAACUUAAAUUAAAACCCAUACAGAUAGAAAAACAAACAAGCUCGAUCAGCCGGAGCUUCAUUUGAUGAGCUUGACAUGUUCUAAAGGCCACAAGUACAAAGCUGUUGAUUGUUGAAACGCUCACUCACUGCUUAAGCAUUCACUUGUUCUUGAAGGGAAUGGCCCUGAUCACAACCACAUGGUACAAAGCUGCAAGUGCUGCACCAAUGAAUGGUCCAACCCAGAAGAUCCACUGCAACAAUUACAUAGACCCAGUUAAUUAACAUCAGUGCCUAAUUUUCCUGAAACUAUUAAUUGGAAUUGAUAAGUGAACCAAUUAGUCAGAAUCUAAUGGAAGCUAGGCUUACGUG